rnacentral:misc_RNA from 1 species
CGCACAUUGCGCCCCUUGGUAUUCCGGGGGGCAUGCCUGUUCGAGCGUCAUUUCAACCCUCAAGCUCUGCUUGGUCUUGGGCCGCGCCGGCGACGGCGGGCCUCAAAAUCAGUGGCGGCGCCAUUGGGUCCCUCAGCGUAGUACUUUUUCUCGCUGUUGGGUCUCGGUGGCCGCCGGCCAGCAACCCCCAAUUUUCUAUGGUUGACCUCGGAUCAGGUAGGGAUACCCGCUGAACUUAA